AAGUAGGUCGGGACACGUGUUAUCUUGACUGAAGAUAGGGGGACCAUCCUCUAAGGCUAAAUACUACCAACUGACCGAUAGUGAACCAGUACCGUGAGGGAAAGGCGAAAAGAACCCCUGUGAGGGGAGUGAAAUAGAACCUGAAACCGGAUGCGUACAAGCAGUCAGAGCCCGCAAGGGUGAUGGCGUACCUUUUGUAUAAUGGGUCAGCGACUUCGUCUCUCGAGCAAGCUUAAGCCGAUAGGUGUAGGCGCAGCGAAAGCGAGUCUUAAUAGGGCGACUGAGUUCGAGGGAUGAGACCCGAAGCCGGGUGAUCUAGCCAUGAGCAGGUUGAAGGUGCGGUAACACGCACUGGAGGACCGAACCCACGUCUGUUGAAAAAGACGGGGAUGACUUGUGGCUAGGGGUGAAAGGCCAAUCAAACCCGGAAAUAGCUGGUUCUCCGCGAAAUCUAUUUA
rnacentral:rRNA from 1 species